AAUGAACGCUGGCGGCAUGCCUUACACAUGCAAGUCGAACGGCAGCAUGACCUAGCUUGCUAGGUUGAUGGCGAGUGGCGAACGGGUGAGUAAUGCAUCGGAACGUGCCUUUUAGUGGGGGAUAACGUAGCGAAAGUUACGCUAAUACCGCAUAUUCUCUGAGGAGGAAAGCAGGGGACCUUCGGGCCUUGCGCUAGAAGAGCGGCCGAUGUCGGAUUAGCUAGUUGGUGAGGUAAAGGCCCACCAAGGCAACGAUCCGUAGCGGGUCUGAGAGGAUGAUCCGCCACACUGGGACUGAGACACGGCCCAGACUCCUACGGGAGGCAGCAGUGGGGAAUUUUGGACAAUGGGCGCAAGCCUGAUCCAGCCAUGCCGCGUGAGUGAAGAAGGCCUUCGGGUUGUAAAGCUCUUUCGGCUGGGAAGAAAUCGCACCCUCUAAUACAGGGUGUGGAUGACGGUACCAGCAUAAGAAGCACCGGCUAACUACGUG
rnacentral:rRNA from 1 species